AUACGUAGGUGACAAGCGUUAUCCGGAUUUACUGGGCGUAAAGGGCGUGUAGGCGGUCUUGCAAGUCAGAAGUGAAAUUCCUGAGCUCAACUCGGGCGCUGCUUCUGAAACUGCAGGACUUGAGUGCUGGAGGGGAUAGCGGAAUUCCUAGUGGAGCGGUAAAAUGCGCAGAUAUUAGGAAGAACACCGGUGGCGAAGGCGGAUAUCUGGACAGUAACUGACGCUGAGGCGCGAAAGCGUGGGGAGCAAACAGGAUUAGAUACCCUGGUAGUCCACAUUGUAAACGAUGAAUGCUAGGUGUAAGAGGUAUCGACCCCUUUUGUGCCGGAGUCAACACAAUAAGCAUUCCGCCUGGGGAGUACGGCCGCAAGGUUGAAACUCAAAUGAAUUGACGGGG
rnacentral:rRNA from 1 species